rnacentral:rRNA from 1 species
UACGGGGGGGGCAAGCGUUGUUCGGAAUUACUGGGCGUAAAGGGCUCGUAGGUGGCCAACUCAGUCAGACGUGAAAUCCCUCGGCUUAACCGGGGAACUGCGUCUGAUACUGGAUGGCUUGAGGUUGGGAGAGGGAUGCGGAAUUCCAGGUGUAGCGGUGAAAUGCGUAGAUAUCUGGAGGAACACCGGUGGCGAAGGCGGAUCUCUGGGCCAUUACUGACGCUGAGGAGCGAAAGCGUGGGGAGCGAACAGG